rnacentral:tRNA from 1 species
GAGAGAGGUAAGAUACUAACGAUAACUGCUAAUUUUCGCCCUCUUGGUUUAAUUCCAGGACUCACUCG